AACGAACGCUGGCGGCGUGGAUAAGACAUGCAAGUCGAACGGGACAGACCGGGUAGCAAUAUUUGGAAUGUUCAGUGGCGAACGGGUGCGUAACACGUGGAUAACAUUCCGGAAAGCGGGGAAUAGCCCAGGGAAACUUGGAUUAAUACCGCAUGUGGCCGCAAGGCUAAAGACGGGGACCGCAAGGCCUGUCACUUUCCGAUUGGUCCGCGGCCUAUCAGCUAGUUGGCGGGGUAAUGGCCCACCAAGGCUACGACGGGUAGCUGGUCUUAGAGGACGACCAGCCAAACUGGAACUGAGACACGGUCCAGACACCUACGGGUGGCAGCAGUCGAGAAUCUUUCACAAUGGGGGCAACCCUGAUGGAGCGACGCCGCGUGGAGGAUAAGGUCUUCGGAUUGUAAACUCCUGUCAUGCGAGAACAAGGUACUCAGGCUAAUAACCUGAUUGUUUGAUGGUACCGCAAGAGGAAGAGACGGCUAACUCUGUGCCAGCCGCCGCCGUAAUAC
rnacentral:rRNA from 1 species